AGAUAAAUGUAUAUCUGGUCUUGUGAAAUUAAUAAUCAUGACUAGAUAUUCCAUUUAUCU
rnacentral:pre_miRNA from 1 species